rnacentral:lncRNA from 1 species
UUCUGAAUAUAUUUUCUCUUUAAUACUUCUAGUGCUAAUCAUUGAUGUUUGCUCCCCCUUAAUACAGUAAUCAUUAACAGCAAUCAUCAACAAAGAGAAGAUAUUUGAACAAGGAGAGAAUAUAUAUAACCAAAAAGAUGAUUGACAUCAUUACAAAAAGUAGAGAUAUAAGUAAAAGAUGAUUAAAACCAUAAUUGUUUCAAUACAAAUUUCAUAACAUAAAAGUCAGCUAGCUAAUGUCAUUACAUGGCCCCAAAAUACAGAUCCUAGAAAGAACAAGACACUAACACCUAGGAUCUAGUAAAGAUCAUGACUAGAAGGAUCGGAGUCGUCAGAUAUGGGAUGAGGAGCUGAUGGAUCUCGACCAGAAGUACAUCCUCUACCCCGCCUGCCUCUGGCACGAGCAGGUGAGCGAGAUGAACUAGGAGGCUGAGAACGCUGCGAGGCCAAGGACUGGACAGAAAGAGUGAGUCUGAUGGAAUCAAGAACGUUCAGUGCUCUGGAAAUAGACUGAAGUAGAGUAGUGAACUGGGUAGAUGCAUGCUCACUCGAGCCUC